rnacentral:rRNA from 1 species
UAGGGAAUCUUCGGCAAUGGGGGCAACCCUGACCGAGCAACGCCGCGUGAGUGAAGAAGGUUUUCGGAUCGUAAAGCUCUGUUGUAAGAGAAGAACGUGUGUGAGAGUGGAAAGUUCACACAGUGACGGUAACUUACCAGAAAGGGACGGCUAACUACGUGCCAGCAGCCGCGGUAAUACGUAGGUCCCGAGCGUUGUCCGGAUUUAUUGGGCGUAAAGCGAGCGCAGGCGGUUUAAUGAGUCUGAAGUUAAAGGCAGUGGCUUAACCAUUGUUCGCUUUGGAAACUGUUAAGCUUGAGUGCAGAAGGGGAGAGUGGAAUUCCAUGUGUAGCGGUGAAAUGCGUAGAUAUAUGGAGGAACACCGGUGGCGAAAGCGGCUCUCUGGUCUGUAACUGACGCUGAGGCUCGAAAGCGUGGGGAGCAAACAGG